rnacentral:rRNA from 1 species
GACGAACGCUGGCGGCGUGCUUAACACAUGCAAGUCGAACGAAGUGGCGAACGGGUGAGUAACGCGUAAUCAACCUGCCCUUCAGAGGGGGACAACAGCUGGAAACGACUGCUAAUACCACAUACCGAAGGAGGGGCUUGCGUCUGAUUAGCUCGUUGGAGGGGUAACGGCCCACCAAGGCGACGAUCAGGAGCCAGUCUGAGAGGAUGACCGGCCACAUUGGGACUGAGACACGGCCCAGACUCCUACGGGAGACAGCAGUGGGGAGUCUUCCGCAAUGGACGAAAGUCUGACGGAGCAACGCCGCGUGAGUGAUGACGGCCUUCGGGUUGUAAAGCUCUGUUAAUCGGGACGCGGUACCGGAAUAGAAAGCCACAGCUAACAACGUGCCAGCAGCCGCGGUAAUAC